UAUGUGUGCAAACAUAUACUCCUGGUACCAGGGAAAUCUAGGCCUUUCCACACCCCUAUUGCCUAACACAGUGUCUCACUCGCAGACACUUGUCAAGUACUUAUGCUUGUGAAUGUUUGUCAGAUGCCUGCUGAAUGCGUGAUUAUGAAGGAAUGAGCCCAGCCCACAACUCCAGGCCAGGAGUGAGCACACACCUGCCCAGCAGGACCAGCAGAGGGGCACAGCGAUGCAUGAGAGAAGCUGAAGUGAAUGAGAGGACCAGAGAGGGUCGGCAGCUUGCCUGGGUUUCCUCCCCAUCCGCCACCAGCACCCCACGGGACCCCGUCCCAGGAAAAGUGGCCCUCAUGGGGAAGCAGACGAGUGGGUGGUGCUGAAGUCCAGCAGCCUUCUGCUUCCUGCGAGAAAAAUUCCUGGCAUUUCUCCGCCUGUGCAGUUAUGAAACCUUUGACUUACCCUCAUCCCCAGGGAACCCUGCAUAGCCAAGGGCAGGGAAAGAAAGAGGCAAAACCCAAUUUGAGCACAAGUCAGAUGGCUUCCAGCCCCAGCAGGGGGACAUCCCACCCUGUGGGUUUGGAUCCACCAGGGAUUGGAAGCAGUUGUGAAGGCAGAAGUUCAAGAACCGGAAAACAAAUGCCACUGAGUCACAAGGGGCGUCAGAGCCAACUCCAGAGUCACAGCGCUGAGGCCACACUCAUUCCAGAUCCAACACAGCAGCUUCGAGCCUCGUGUGGCUACUGAGAACUGCAGCUGGCUGAGGGGAACGAGGAUGUGCUGUGAACACCGAGUGAACCCCUGGAUUCAGCGUGCAAAAAGGCCAGAGUCACAGCUCCCAGAAGUCAUUCAGCGUCAUAACUUUGGCCUCCUGCAUGCCCGAGACAGCAGCCAGCACAAGUUCUGCUGGCACAUGGGUCAAGCACCUUCGCCACAUUCCACGAUGCACAGGGCACGGUCCUCAGCCAGCUCCAGGCUGCCUUCUCCACAGGAGCCAGGCCCAGCCUCCCUGGGCAUCUGAACCUGAUGACCAGUCUUCCCUUGCUCUGCCACCCAGGGUGUCUCUCAGGGACCUGGAGGUCUCACCAUCUCCCCACAACCAUUUCCUCCGCCUCCCCUUCAAGGUGCAUUUCUUAUAAAGAGAAACACGACCUUC